rnacentral:tRNA from 1 species
GGUUCCGUGGCCCAAUGGCAAGGCGCUUGACUACGAAUCAAGAGAUUGUGGGUUCGAUCCCCACCGGAACCU